rnacentral:rRNA from 1 species
GGUGAACGCUGGCGGCGUGCCUAAUACAUGCAAGUCGAGCGAACGGACGAGAAGCUUGCUUCUCUGAUGUUAGCGGCGGAAGGGUGAGUAACACGUGGAUAACCUACCUAUAAGACUGGGAUAACUUCGGGAAACCGGAGCUAAUACCGGAUGAUAUUUUGAACCGCAUGGUUCAAAAGUGAAAGACGGUCUUGCUGUCACUUAUAGAUGGAUCCGCGCUGCAUUAGCUAGUUGGUAAGGUAACGGCUUACCAAGGCAACGAUGCAUAGCCGACCUGAGAGGGUGAUCGGCCACACUGGAACUGAGACACGGUCCAGACUCCUACGGGAGGCAGCAGUAGGGAAUCUUCCGCAAUGGGCGAAAGCCUGACGUAGCAACGCCGCGUGAGUGAUGAAGGUCUUCGGAUCUUAAAACUCUGUUAUUAGGGAAGAUCAUAUGUGUAAGUAACUGUGCACAUCUUGACGGUACCUAAUCAGAAAGCCACGGCUAACUACGUG